rnacentral:rRNA from 1 species
GAUGAACGCUGGCGGCGUGCCUAACACAUGCAAGUCGAGCGAUUCUCUUCGGAGAAGAGCGGCGGACGGGUGAGUAACGCGUGGGUAACCUGCCCUGUACACACGGAUAACAUACCGAAAGGUAUGCUAAUACGGGAUAACAUAAGAAAUUCGCAUGUUUUUCUUAUCAAAGCUCCGGCGGUACAGGAUGGACCCGCGUCUGAUUAGCUAGUUGGUGAGGUAUUGGCUCACCAAGGCGACGAUCAGUAGCCGACCUGAGAGGGUGAUCGGCCACAUUGGAACUGAGACACGGUCCAAACUCCUACGGGAGGCAGCAGUGGGGAAUAUUGCACAAUGGGCGAAAGCCUGAUGCAGCAACGCCGCGUGAGCGAUGAAGGCCUUCGGGUCGUAAAGCUCUGUCCUCAAGGAAGAUAAUGACGGUACUUGAGGAGGAAGCCCCGGCUAACUACGUGCCAGCCGCCGCCGUAAGAC